UACGUAGGGUGCAAGCGUUAAUCGGAAUUACUGGGCGUAAAGCGUGCGCAGGCGGUUAUGCAAGACAGAGGUGAAAUCCCCGGGCUCAACCUGGGAACUGCCUUUGUGACUGCAUAGCUAGAGUACGGUAGAGGGGGAUGGAAUUCCGCGUGUAGCAGUGAAAUGCGUAGAUAUGCGGAGGAGCACCGAUGGCGAAGGCAAUCCCCUGGACCUGUACUGACGCUCAUGCACGAAAGCGUGGGGAGCAAACAGG
rnacentral:rRNA from 1 species